UAAAGAUUCAUCGCUGAUAGAUAGGCAUGCGUUCCAUUAGGCAGUUGGCGGGGUAACGGCCCACCAAACCGACGAUGGAUAGGGGUUCUGAGAGGAAGGUCCCCCACAUUGGUACUGAGACACGGACCAAACUCCUACGGGAGGCAGCAGUGAGGAAUAUUGGUCAAUGGGCGUAAGCCUGAACCAGCCAAGUCGCGUGAGGGAUGAAGGUUCUAUGGAUCGUAAACCUCUUUUAUAAGGGAAUAAAGUGUGGGACGUGUCCUGUUUUGUAUGUACCUUAUGAAUAAGGAUCGGCUAACUCCGUGCCAGCAGCCGCGGUAAUACGGAGGAUCCGAGCGUUAUCCGGAUUUAUUGGGUUUAAAGGGUGCGUAGGCGGCCUUUUAAGUCAGCGGUGAAAGUCUGUGGCUCAACCAUAGAAUUGCCGUUGAAACUGGGAGGCUUGAGUAUGUUUGAGGCAGGCGGAAUGCGUGGUGUAGCGGUGAAAUGCUUAGAUAUCACGCAGAACCCCGAUUGCGAAGGCAGCCUGCCAAGCCAUGACUGACGCUGAUGCACGAAAGCGUGGGGAUCAAACAGGAUUAGAUACCCUGGUAGUCCACGCAGUAAACGAUGAUCACUAGCUGUUUGCGAUACAGUGUAA
rnacentral:rRNA from 1 species